rnacentral:rRNA from 1 species
CAGUACAACUCCUACGGGAGGCAGCAGUGGGGAAUAUUGCACAAUGGGCGAAAGCCUGAUGCAGCCAUGCCGCGUGUGUGAAGAAGGCCUUCGGGUUGUAAAGCACUUUCAGCGAGGAGGAAAGGUUGACGGUUAAUACCCGUCAGCUGUGACGUUACUCGCAGAAGAAGCACCGGCUAACUCCGUGCCAGCAGCCGCGGUAAUACGGAGGGUGCGGGCGUUAAUCGGAAUUACUGGGCGUAAAGCGCAUGCAGGCGGCCAAGUCAGUCAGAUGUGAAAGCCCCCGGCUUAACCUGGGAAUUGCAUUUGAAACUGCUUGGCUAGAGUCCUUGAGAGGGGGUAGAAUUUCAGGUGUAGCGGUGAAAUGCGUAGAGAUCUGAAGGAAUACCAGUGGCGAAGGCGGCCCCCUGGCAAGAGACUGACGCUCAGAUGCGAAAGCGUGGGGAGCAAACAGGAUUAGAUACCCUGGUAG